CUCUGAUUUAGCUGAACUAGGGAGCAAAAAUUCUGCAUCAUUUUGGCCUAUACGGGGGUUUGUCAGAAGGGAAAGAAAACUGGAUCUGAGGCAGAUGACAAUGGAAGUUAAGAGACAUAGCACAGAUGGGUAAUUGUGUCCCUGUGCUACAGCACACUCCCCUUGGAUGCAUCCUCCAAACUGGGAAAAAUUAAUAUCCCCUACCUUAAACUGGUUGCCUUAGAAUUGAACUCAGAGGAAGGGAACCUAGAAGGAUGACAUGCUGGAAAAAGGGCAAAAGUUUCAUCAUUCAGAUGUUGGCCUCUCUCUACCUGUACAAACUGGUAAAAGGAAUGAUAAGGAUCACUGUUUAUAUUCUCUGUAAAGUUUUGAUUAAUGAAAAAGGAUUUGUGAAGUUAGUCUUAAGCUGUAGCCAAUCUGAUGUGAUUUGCAUGUCUUUCUGUGUGAUUCUGUCAGGAAGAGGGGUACCAUAUGAUAGGAUGUAGGCCUAGGACCCCAUAAGCCUGCUGUUCAAGUCAGCCUGGCAAACUGGUCAGUAACAAACUUUGCUGCAGGCCUCCAUCUUGUUUUACAUCCUUGGGAGUGUGACCUGUAACCACGUGGCAGUACUUUCUUUUAGUCUCCGCCAUUUUACAAUGGCAACCUGGGUUCAAUCCUGGCUUGAGAAAUGAGUACUUUUGGGUUGAUAUCUGUGUGUAACUUUUGCCAUUUGCUGAUUCUCUUCCUUUCCAUGAACAACUUCCAGCUUCCUUUCUUAAAUCUUUCUUUCUCUGAAUUACCUUUAAAGGUCCUAGAUUUUGUAAAAACUGCUUACUACCCCUUCGAAAAUACUUCAUACAUUUGUGGUUAAGUCAUAACCUUAAUUGAAGCUUGUUGGUUUCACCUGUGAGUUACUUUUGGUAAAGUUCAAAUGCCAAAAAUAUUGGCAGCUUGGCACGGCUAAAGUCAGCUUACAAGGAAUUUAAAAGGACUUUCUUUUUAUUUUUUUUCUUUUUCUUUUUCUUUUUUUUUUUUUUUUGAGACAGA
rnacentral:lncRNA from 10 species